rnacentral:rRNA from 1 species
GACGAACGCUGGCGGCGUGCCUAAUACAUGCAAGUCGAGCGGACAGAAGGGAGCUUGCUCCCGGAUGUUAGCGGCGGACGGGUGAGUAACACGUGGGUAACCUGCCUGUAAGACUGGGAUAACUCCGGGAAACCGGAGCUAAUACCGGAUAGUUCCUUGAACCGCAUGGUUCAAGGAUGAAAGACGGUUUCGGCUGUCACUUACAGAUGGACCCGCGGCGCAUUAGCUAGUUGGUGGGGUAAUGGCUCACCAAGGCGACGAUGCGUAGCCGACCUGGGAGGGUGAUCGGCCACAAUGGGACUGAGAGACGGCCCAGACUCCUACGGGAGGCAGCAGUAGGGAAUCUUCCGCAAUGGACGAAAGUCUGACGGAGCAACGCCGCGUGAGUGAUGAAGGUUUUCGGAUCGUAAAGCUCUGUUGUUAGGGAAGAACAAGUGCGAGAGUAACUGCUCGCACCUUGACGGUACCUAACCAGAAAGCCACGGCUAACUACGUGCCAGCCGCCGCAGUAAUAC